AGGCCAUAAUGAGGGCAUUAUUGGAGUAAAUCCUUGAACCUCUCUAUAAGCUUAUAAAAGGAUUCACUAGACUUUUGCCUAAACUGAAGGAUAUCACUUCUAAGCUU